AUGCCCGGGAACAAUGUCCACGGCAAUGUUCAACUCAGGGAAUCUGGACCAGCAUUUGUGAAACCUGGAGAAUCCAUCAGACUAACCUGUGCUGUCUCCGGAGACCUCGUCACAAAUACAAAUGUCUACUGGGCAUGGAUGCGACAGGCCCCUGGGAAAGGACUGGAAUGGGUGGCAGAGAUAGACAUGUCUCCUCACGGGUGGCGGAGACGCUAUGCCCCAACUCUCCAAGCCUCCGUCUCUGCUGAUUCUGCCAAAAAUGAAUAUUACCUCCAGCUGAGGUCCGUGACAGUUGCAGACACAGCCAGAUAUUAUUGUGCUGGAUAG